ensembl:lncRNA
GCCCGAUAAUGUAUAGUCCGCCGGUCAGUAUCGGAAAAUAAAUCCCUUCAGGAUGAAACAAGAGUGCUCCGCUGCGCAACCCCAUUUAAUUAUCAAAGUGUUCUGAUGAUGAAGUUCCACCUGGAAUCUUAAGCUUGUCAAAUGUCCACAAAAGGACCUCUUUUUCCUUUCAAGUUCAGGACGCAAAAGAGCCAAUAACAUUAUAUGCCUUUCCAGAAGAGGCUUGAAGUGAGAAUAUGCACUAAAUCAAUAAAAGUAUAUGAAGAUCCAGUGGAGCAGCACUGGUGUGGUAGUACAUAACCAGGGAGGGGGAGGGGGAGGGGGGAGCUGUGUGUGGGAGGGUGGGGGUGUUUCAGUCUGCAGAGGAGAGAGCUACCUCACCGCUGCGGUGGAGGUGCAGCUUUUAUCUUCAUUAGCGGCUCUGCUCUCCUCAGCCACCUCUCCUGCUGCAACCAGGGCCCCGGGGUGUCCAGAUGCGCCAUGUUUAAAAAAAGGGCCCUGGCCCCGCUGUGCUCCUUCCUCCUCCUCACCUCCCAGGGUGUGAACCACCACAUGGAGCCUGACAAACAUAGCCUGACGACACCAGGGUUUGUGAAGGCACCUUGUUUGAUCAGAGGAGGUGAUGGAGGAAGGGGGGUGGGUUGUUGGUGGUGAGGAGGGGGGCGCACCCUCCGAGGGGUCCACACAUGUUCUGAAGAUGCUGUGAGAACCAGAGAGUUGAGAUGGUGAGUGAAUGAGCUGAACAGCUCCUGGUGUCCCUCAAGGAGACUUGUGGGAGCUGUGUAGUCGUGCCAACAGCAGUGACGUGGCACUGUUGCAACAUCAGAGACAAAGGUGUAACAAUGAGCGUGCUUGUGUGUUUGAAAUGAGGUCAGUUUUGUUUCGUUUCAGUAUGAACAGCUGUUGCAUAUGUUUGGAAAAUCAACUCGCUGUCAAGGUUCUGCUUAUCUGUGGCUGUAAAUUGCUUUAUAGUUCUGCUGUUUUGUUGGUCAAAGCAAAUGUGACCGUGUUAUUACAGAAAUGUUCAUUUGUUGAGAAAUGCUUAAAAGCACCUUUUGUAGGUUUAAAAAAAAAAAAUUGAAAAAAAAAAGUUGUAGGUAACUAGUUUGUAUAACAUUCUCAGAUUCAUUUUGAUAGUCUAUGGUCAUAUGAAAGACGGAUGAACACACCUGUCAUUUCCACAAGUCGUCCUGGUUAGCCAUUAUGUAGUGAAACCCCAUUUUCACAGCAGGGUGUGGCCCAAAAUAUUGCCAUAACACAUCAGUUAGCACGCUAGCUAGUUUCUCCGGUGCCUCAUGGCUGUUGUUGGUGUUUGCCAGUUAAGUCUGUUAGCUUUAGCCUGCAAAUUUUAAAUGGAAGCUCAUUGCUAAUGCUUCAAUCUGAUAUGCCAGUGGAGCUCCCAUUUCAACAUCUGAGGGUGACAGAUCAGAUGGAAACAACAAAAAGAACAUUGUCUCUCCUCUAUCUUCCACCCUCUCUCUCUCUCUCUCUCUCUCUCUCUCUCUCUGUCUCUCUUUCUAUCUCUCUUGGAGAGAAAGCUACCCAGUUAGAAUUCACAUUUCCAGCAAGAACAGCUUAGGGGGUUGGGGAGAUAUUGAGUUACACUGACAUAAAUCUUCGCAUUUUUCUAGUGUGCGGGUAGUUCUUUUUGCCGGUGUGUUCGGGAAUGCUGGCGCUCCUGGGAAGAGAUAGUGCUGGCGCCUUCAGUGGAGCCUACCCGAGCAUUUGAGUGUGUGUGUGUAUGUGUGUGUGUGUGUGUGUGUAUGGGAGGGGGGGGGGGGGGGGGGUCAUCUUUAUCUUAGGCCAUUACAAGGAGGAUCUGUGCCUUGUGUAGGGGCAUGACUCUGCGCCUCACUGGGGUAUGCAGGAGCAAGGGGAGCACGAUGCAUGGAGAACACGCUGGCUCCCGUCCCUGUAAUUAUCUCUGCUAAAUGACUCUUGUUAUUGUUAGCUAAAUGGUACAAAGGGGGGAUCUGAACAGCAAAGGAAGGGCAUCCAAAACAGAGGCAGGGUCCAGGUGAAUGGGAAUUAUCUGGGAGCUGGAACCAAGUCAAGCGCCCGAUCCCCACCUCGCAGGUUUUAAAUAACAAACUAGACUUGGCUGCAAAUUCUUUGUGCACCAGCAAUCAAAAGGGGGUGUUAACAUGAGAAAUUCAGGGGUGAAAUGAUAGUCUUUAAUUGGGCAGUACCCCCCCCCCCCCUUGAUCACACAAUAAAGGAGUAAACCCAGGACUCACUGG